AUAGAGCACGGCUCGCACUAAUGUCCAUGGCGGCCGCCGGCCGGGGCCCGGCGGUUGCGUUGACUCGGUCUAGGUCGAAGCAGCCACACACCCACACCGUCAGUCCGUCACACAGUGCUAGCUAACGCUUCUUCUGACUUUGGCAUACGUGUCAUCAUCUGUCAUCUCCCAAUCCUAGCUGUUCUUGUUCUGGAGCCCAAAUUGGAUGGCAACUGGCUGUGGAAGGCCUCAGCAGGAGCAGUCUAAUGGGUCUCUGAAAGUAGCUGUCACUGCUAACUGAAGGCGAUUAGGUGCACGUUUACUGUGUAAUCCUUUAUCAUAAAAAAACUGUUUUUUACUUCUGCUUGUACCUUUUGUGUUUUAUACUCUAUAUUUAAAUAUAAAUGAAAAUCAUUACAAUGUACAGGUACUUUGUUAAUAAUAUUCAACUAAGGUGAUGAGAAAAGUUUCAUAGUUAUGACACUCUCCGGCGCUUCACUCUCACCCUUCCUCUAGCCGCCUUCUCCAGUCUCCACGUCCCUCCACUCGUCCAACGGUGCCCCCUCACGAGUUCAAGACCGAGCUCGCCUACGCACCCUUCGGACAGAGGAGUUUCAAUCUCCUCCUUCCGUGAAUUAGUAGUUUUAACUACAAAACCAAUCUUUUUAAAGUUUUAAUAUCUGAUAAAAAUGUAUAGUAUGUUACUAUAAAUAUUGCAUAAUUUUUUAAAACUUCAAAAACUAAUGUAUAAAAGUCACUAGUGACGUGUUCGUACAUCUCUAUGGUUUUUAUUUAUGCUUGGAUAUAGAGUAUAACAUACUCUAUCUGUUUUCUAUCUUAAGAUCACGAAGGUAUGUCUUAAAUCAAAUAUUUUCAACUUUGACCGAUAAUAACAAAAUAUGUAUAAAUAUUGACUAAAUAAAAAUGAAACUAUUAGAUUUAUUAUUAAAAUACCACAAUAUAUAAUUUCUGUAAUUGAAAAUUAUUUAUUUUUAUAGAUAUUGUUGUCAAUAUUUUAAAACAUUAACUUAGGACAUACUUUGUGAUCUUAAGAUAGGGAACGAAGGGAGUAUGUGUGUUCUACCGACUACAUGGGUUCGGUGUGAAUAUGAGUUUUGAACCAAUCCCACUUUUGCAUAAUUUUAGAUUUUUUACCAUUUAAAUGUUAAGGAGCGAAAGGGGAAGUGACGCACGAUGAUGGAACCGUGGAAACUAUAUAGUAAGACAAAUAACAUUAAAGUAAGUAGUGUAAUAUCAUUAAAGUAUACACUAGUCACUCGUGUGUGCCAGCGCACACAUGUAAGCAGUGUAAUAUGUAUAGAAAUAGUAUUAUAGAAAUGAUAUUUUUAGAGGAAAAUAGUUGAAUUAAAAUAGAUGAUAAGCAUGCAAAUUUGCUCCAAUAAUUACCUGGCAUAUGUUGUUGAUCGGUUGGAGCAAAAUUCUAUUUGAUGUAAGGUUUAACAGUUAAGGACUGAUAAUAGAUAAUAUGCCAACAAUUGAGAAAUAUACAUAGAUGCAUAAGUAGAAAAGAUUGUUAGAUGUAGUCAGGAAUAAAAGGAACACAUAAGUCUUGUAUAAUAUUUAUGGGACAAACAUUGUGUUAUCACAUGUUUAUAUCUAAGCAGAUUGCUUACCAGUGCAUAGUAGCAAAAGAUGGUUGCCACAUAUUUACAUAUAAGUAGGUCGUUCAUGACUACAUAGUAUCAUAAGAUGUAUCUAAGAAGAUUGUUUAUCAGUGCAUAGUAGCAAAAGGUGGUUGCCAGAUAUUUGCAUCUAAGUAGGUUGUUAAUGACUACAUAGUAGCAUAAGAUGUUGCUGCGAUGAAUAUGGGAACUGUGCGUAUGCAUAUCCGGACGGUCCAGCGUAAGAGGCCGAAUGGUCCGCGACCUGGCCAAAUGGUCCGAAGGUAUAUCCGGAUUGUCCAGCCGUAUAUGGUGCUACGUGGGUAGUCUCGUACCCAGACCGUCUGUCGUAAAGAACUGGACGGUCCGCGAUCGGGCCGAAUGGUCCAGGGCUGUACCCGGACGGAUCGGCCAUAUAUGGCGCGAUUUGGGUAGUCUGCGCAUGGACUCGUGUAGAGUCGGAUGGUCCAGCGUAAUACGUCGGCCGGUUCAUGCCAUAUCCGGACGGUCCGGUGUAAGAUGGUGGACGGUCCGCAACAUAUCCGGACGGUCCGGCGUGAUGCACCGGACGGUCCGUGAUGGGACCGAAGUGUUUAGGGUUGUACCCUGAUGGUCCGGCCAUGUACGGUGCGACCUGAGUGUUUUGUGUGUGGGCCUGCUUCUGGUCGGACGGUCCGGCGAAAUACGCCGGACGGUCCGUGGUAUAAUCGGAUUGUCUGAGAUGAUGCUCGGACGGUCCGGUCGCGUCCAGUACCUGCCGCGUGCCUAGUGGUUGCGGCUGUGAUGGUGACACGAAAGCGUGCAUCGGCAUACCAUAUGAUGGCUGGGUCAAGGGUGACCCGUUUAUAGCCGAUGUGUUUGACGUGGGUGGCACUGUAUUAGACUCUUGCGAUGGAAAGUUAGGAGCAACUGAUUUCUCGUAUGCACGUAAAUGCAUUUUAAUAGAUUCAUCUACAUAUUGCUUUAACUGAUCUCCUCGUUGAUCCAUGAAAGUCGUAAGAGAUAGGUCUGGAGUACUUACAGCGGGACCCUGAAGUGGAGGUAGGAGAGAUUCCAUAUCGAUCUCCCCUUGACGGACGAUCUUCUGGUGGCGAUCUACCGUGAAGUGUGACAAGUACUUGUCCGCCGCCUCCUUGCGCCAUUCGGAGAGUUUAUGCAGCAGUUCCGCCUCUUCCUUGUCGCGUUGUUCGUUCCAUUGCCGCAUCACCUCCUUCUCAUCGCGCAUUACGAGGUCUUCAAAGGGCCUUUGGUCAUCAGCCGGGAGCGCCUCCAUGGCCGACUUGAUGAUGUUGGUAGUGGAGAUCUUGGUGUGAUCCUUAGAACCGACCAUUUAUGGGCCGAUUUUUAGCAGAUCUAGACACCUAAUCCCCAGCGGAGUCGCCAAAAAGUAUGUUGACACCCUUUUGGAGGCGCCAAUUACUCAAAAGAACCAGCGGCGGUGCUCUUUGGCCAGGCGCUAGAGAUGGCAAUGGGUACCCGAAACCCGAAACCCGAUGGGUUUUUACCCCAUUAGGGUAUGGGUUUGGGUCAAUUUUCAUACCCAUGGGUUUGUUAACGGGCAUAAAUCUAUACCCAGCGGGUUUAUGGGUACGAGUUUGUUCCUAUAGUACCCAAACCCGUGAACCCGUGAGUUUUUUAAACCCGACCAAACCUAGUGCAUAUUGUCAUUUUAUUUUAUAAACGAACAACAAACUUGUUAUUCCUUAUUUACUUCAUAUUUUUUAUCAAUUGGUGAAUGUAUCAGUAGUCGGUGAGAGUGUUGCUUGCUUGAUAUUAUAGUUUUUACUAGCGUUAUAUAUGUGGUGGAUGGAUAACUUAGUGCAAGGUCACUUAAUUAUACAACUUAUUAUUUGUAUUUUAUUCUCUCUACUAAUAAUUUUUAUACCAAAUCAUGAACUCGUUGAUCAUUACAUAGAUUUUGGAUUAUAAUAUCAUUAAUCAUUACGAUACUUAUUGAUUAUGAGAAGAACAAGUAUAUUAGAGAUGAAACCCACGGGUAACCCAUGGGUACCCGUUAACCCGAUGGGUACGGGUUUGGGCAAAAUCUCAAACCCGUCAUGGGUACGGAUUUUUUAAUGGGCAUAGAUAUUUUUCACGGGUACGUGUUUGAGACGAUAAAACCCAGCGGGUUUGUACCCGUUGCCAUCUCUACCAGGCGCAGACGGUCCGCGGCACAGGGCCGGACGGUCCGCGACCUGGCGUGAGGCGGAGGUGCUCUCUGGUCAGGCGCGGACGGUCCGCGGCACAGGGUCGGACGGUCCGCGACUUGGUACAGGAGCCCGGGUUCCCUGCCUGACGGCCGGACGGUCCGCGCCCUGGGGUUGGACGGUCCGCGCGUGCGCAGGGGCUGCGAAGGAUCGCCGGCGGCGCCUGGAUCUCGCUCCCGGGAGGGACCCCAUCGGGGAGGAGAGAUCCUAGGAGUUGUCUAGGCUCGGGCAGGCCGACCUAGACUCCUCUAAUCGACGUAGAGUCGAGGAGAGGCGGAGAAUUUGGGGGAUCGAGAGGCUAAACUAGGGCUAAACUAGAACUAGACUAGAACUACUCCUAAUGCAUAAGGUAAAAAACGAGUAAUAGACUGGAUUUGAUCGAUUGUUGGGGGUUCAAUCGGCCGUAGCCCUUCAUCUAUAUAAAUGGGGAGGUCUGGAUCCGUUUCCAACUGUUUCCCGAGUUAAUCCCGCGGUUUUAGGUAACAAAUCCCGCGAGAAACUAGAAACCCUAAUUGACUCUGCGCGCGCGCGGACCGUCUGCGCCACCACCACGGACAGUCUGGACCGCGGACCGUCCGGCCUCAGGGCCGGACCGUCCGCUAGGCUCUUUUUAGCCUUCAACAAUGUGGAACACCAAAUGAUGUUAAACUUGAGGUCGAUGGUCAUGAUUUAAUAUAAUGGAUAUUGUGCUUCUUUUGUCUUUGAAUAAAAGUGCAAUUAUGAUUUACGCCCCCCCCCCCCGCCACCUUUAUGAUUUUGGGCCUUCUUUUUUAAAACGAAAAACAAGUGUAGGCUUGUUUUGUUAGAGUUGCUUGACGGAGAGAAGAAUAGUGCUAGAGGAUGUUUAUUGCAAAAUAUAUGGAGCACCAAAAGAUGUUAAUUUGAGAUAGAUGAUCGUCAUUUAAUAUAUGUACCAUGUGCAUUAUAGAGCUUGUUUAGUUUGCUGCUUAAUAUGCCAUGACAGAACAGACACACAUAGCAAUCAUCCAAACACGCGCCAACUGCGGUCAACGGAACGCCGCGGACCUGAAUGUAGCCAACCAAUCACCCGGAUAGUGAAGAUGCAGGGCCACAUAAUGUUCCUAUGGUCAAGGUUCAACCCUGGAGCUUGAGGAGUGACUGAGUGAGGUGCGAGAUAAUUUGGCGCUCACACACAAACUACUAACCAACCUCUGGGCUCUGGCUCUCUUCCUUCUGCCUCUCCUCCACAGAAGAGUCAGUCAUCGCAACUCACACGAGCAACUUGACCAGCGAGUCACAGUCAGAGUCAGCGCAGGCCGCUCCCCUUCGGCUUAUCAUAUAUUCCACAGGCGCGCGAGCUAUGUCACUCACCGGGCCAGAGCCAGAGAAGCGGCAAAGCAGAGAGUCGGCGAGGACGAGACUACGAGUGGAGGAGGAGCGCGUGUGCUUUGGUUUGGAGCGAGCGAUGGUGUUCGCGUCCGGGUCCGCCGCCGGCGGGCCGCAGGUGCUGACGGCGCGGUUCGUGCGGCAGGUGGUGCAGGGCCGGUGGUUCAUGGUGUUCGCGUGCCUGCUCAUCUUGUCGGCGUCGGGCGCCACCUACAUCUUCAGCAUCUACUCCGAAGUGCUCAAGUCGACGCUGGGGUACGACCAGCGCACGCUCAACACGCUCUGCUUCUACAAGGACCUGGGCGCCAACGUGGACGUGGGCGUCAUUUCGGGCCUCAUCAACGAGGUCACGCCGCCGUGGGUGGUGCUCGCCAUGGGCGCCGCCAUGAACCUGGCGGGCUACCUCAUGAUCUACCUCGCCAUCGACGGGCGCACCGGCAGGCCCCCCGUCUGGCUCAUGUGCAUCUACAUCUGCGUGGGCGCCAACUCCCAGUCCUUCGCCAACACCGGCGCGCUCGUGACCUGCGUCAAGAACUUCCCGGAGAGCCGCGGCGUCGUGCUCGGCCUCCUCAAGGGCUUCGUCGGCCUCAGCGGCGCCAUCUUCACGCAGCUCUACCUCGCCAUCUACGGCGACGACGCCAAGUCGCUCGUGCUGCUCAUCGCCUGGCUCCCCGCCGCCGUCACCAUCCUCUUCGUCCACACCGUCCGCAUCAUGCCGUACCCGCGCGCCAGCCGACGCCGGGGCCCGUCAGCGGCAGCCACCAGCAACGACGCCUUCUUCUGCUUCCUCUACAUCUCCAUCGCGCUCGCGACCUACCUCCUCGUCAUGAUCGUGGUGCAGAAGCAGGUCAACUUCUCGCACGCCGCCUUCGCGGUCUCGGCCGCGGCGCUGCUCCUCAUCCUCUUCCUGCCGCUCGCCGUCGUCGUCAAGCAGGAGUACAAGAUCCAGAAGGAGCUGGAGGAGUCCCUCCGCGAGGACCCCACGGUGACCGUGGAGAAACCGGCCACCGCAGCUUCGCUGCAGCUGGUGGCAGCAGCAGCAGCAGCACCUGAACCAGCGGUGGCUCAGAGCAUGACUACGGGAACAGAGGCCAAGCGGUCCAGCUGCCUGGGGUCUUGCCUUCGGCACAUGUUCAGCCCGCCGGCGCAGGGGGAGGACUACACCAUCCUGCAGGCGCUGGUGAGCGUGGACAUGCUGGUGCUGUUCCUGGCCACCAUCUGCGGCGUGGGCGGCACGCUGACGGCGAUCGACAACAUGGGGCAGAUCGGGCAGUCCCUGGGAUACCCGGCCAAGAGCAUCAACACGUUCGUCUCCCUCAUCAGCAUCUGGAACUACGCCGGGCGCGUCACCGCCGGGUUCGCGUCGGAGGUGUUCCUGGCGCGGUACAAGUUCCCGCGGCCGCUCAUGCUCACGCUGGUGCUCCUGCUCUCGUGCGUCGGCCACCUCCUCAUCGCCUUCGGCGUGCCGCAGUCGCUGUACGUGGCCUCCGUGGUGAUCGGCUUCUGCUUCGGCGCGCAGUGGCCACUGCUGUUCGCCAUCAUCUCCGAGGUGUUUGGGCUCAAGUACUACUCCACGCUCUACAACUUCGGGUCCGUGGCCAGCCCCAUCGGCGCCUACGUGCUCAACGUCCGCGUCGCGGGGGCGCUCUACGACGUGGAGGCCGCCAAGCAGCACGGCGGCUCCCUGGCGGGCGGCGCAGACAAGACCUGCAUCGGCGUGCAGUGCUUCCGCAAGGCGUUCCUCAUUAUCACGGCCGCCACGGUCGCCGGCGCGCUCGUGUCGCUGGUGCUGGUGUGGCGGACCAGGAACUUCUACAGGGGCGACAUCUACGCCAAGUUCAGGGACAGCGCCGACGCGGACGCCGCCGAGGAAAGGGCGGAGGCGGAGAUCGGGUCAACGGAGGUUAACGGGAGGAAGCAGUAGGGUAGUAUAGUACAGAUAUAGAGCACGGCUCGCACUAAUGUCCAUGGCGGCCGCCGGCCGGGGCCCGGCGGUUGCGUUGACUCGGUCUAGGUCGAAGCAGCCACACACCCACACCGUCAGUCCGUCACACAGUGCUAGCUAACGCUUCUUCUGACUUUGGCAUACGUGUCAUCAUCUGUCAUCUCCCAAUCCUAGCUGUUCUUGUUCUGGAGCCCAAAUUGGAUGGCAACUGGCUGUGGAAGGCCUCAGCAGGAGCAGUCUAAUGGGUCUCUGAAAGUAGCUGUCACUGCUAACUGAAGGCGAUUAGGUGCACGUUUACUGUGUAGUCCUUUAUCAUAAAAAAACUGUUUUUUACUUCUGCUUGUACCUUUUGUGUUUUAUACUCU
rnacentral:lncRNA from 1 species